rnacentral:rRNA from 1 species
GACGUGGAAAUCUGCGAUAAGCCUCGGGGAGCCGAUAAACGGGCUGUGAUCCGAGGAUGUCCGAAUGGGGGAACCCCGCCGCAUGCGAGUGCGGUGACCCGCACCUGAAUAUAUAGGGUGUGUGGAGGGAACGCGGGGAAGUGAAGCAUCUCAGUACCCGUAGGA